rnacentral:rRNA from 1 species
UACGAAGGGGGCUAGCGUUGCUCGGAAUCACUGGGCGUAAAGCGCACGUAGGCGGCUUUCUAAGUCAGGGGUGAAAUCCUGGAGCUCAACUCCAGAACUGCCUUUGAUACUGGAGAGCUUGAGUCCGGAAGAGGUGAGUGGAACUCCGAGUGUAGAGGUGAAAUUCGUAGAUAUUCGGAAGAACACCAGUGGCGAAGGCGGCCCACUGGUCCGGUACUGACGCUGAGGUGCGAAAGCG